UCCCUGGUGGUCCAGUGGCUAAGACCCUGUGCUCCCAAUGCAGGAGGCCCGGGUCCAAUCCCUGGUCAGGGAA
rnacentral:tRNA from 1 species